rnacentral:misc_RNA from 1 species
GAUGAAGAACGUAGCGAAACGCGAUAAGUAAUGUGAAUUGCAGAAUCCAGUGAAUCAUCGAAUCUUUGAACGCACAUUGCGCCCGCCAGCAUUCUGGCGGGCAUGCCUGUUCGAGCGUCAUUUCAACCCUCGACCUCCCCUUGGGGAGGUCGGCGUUGGGGACCGGCAGCACACCGCCGGCCCUGAAAUGGAGUGGCGGCCCGUCCGCGGCGACCUCUGCGCAGUAAUACAGCUCGCACCGGGACCCCGACGCGGCCACGCCGUAAAACACCCAACUUCUGAACGUUGACCUCGAAUCGGGUAGGACUACCCGCUGAACUUAAGCAUAUCAAUAAGCGGAGGA